ACAAAGAUCUGCUAAAUGUAACAAUAAUUGUUUAAGCUUAUGACAGAGACUCCCAAAGCCUAACAGUGAUGGCCACCCCCACCUCCCAAGGUCUCCAAGAAGAUAAUGGGCACAGCGACAAGACUCCUGGAUUGUGGUGUGAUAACCACUGAAAAACACUACCUUGUUGCCUUGCCUGCUGCCAGGGCUUGGCCUACACUGUGGACAAACAGCGGAUACCCAGGGAGUUAAAUGUCUUACAUUGCCUAAGUCAAGCUGCUGGAAACCCACUCAGAUCUACCUCUCAUGGACCAAAUAGACUCCAUCCAGCAUCUUACCAAGUCCAGGAGUUUACUCAAAAUCUACAUCCAGGACAGCUCCAGAGAAGCAACCCCCAGAUGCUCCAGUCUACUCUCACAGACACAGAUGCUUCUACUGGAUCUGCUCCUUCCCAUCCACAGAUGGUUCCACAGACCCUGGACAGCAAGGAAACAGUCAACUCUCCUAUGACUGGACCAAGAUCUCCAUACUCAUUUUCUUAAGUUUCUCAUUCUCAGAGUCACAUCGACCCACACUCAGCAGGAAGUAAUUAAAGAUCAUGACGACCCUAUUCCUUCUUCACCAUUGCCUCUUUCUAGUUUUUCCCUUUUUAAAUUAAACCAAAACAGAGGAAUGUUAGCAUUCCAUCUAGGCUCUGCCCCACUAUGCCUGACUCAGUACAAAGGGGGCUGCUUGCCCCCUCCUCACUCUCUUACUCUCUUUCCUCUCUGACCCUUCUC